rnacentral:tRNA from 1 species
GCGGGGAUAGCUCAGCUGGGAGAGCGUCAGACUGAAGUCCAACUUCAGGAUUCAUUCAUACGAGUCAAUCAUCAAAUCUGAAGGCCGUGCGUUCGAUCCGCACUCACCGCA